CGAACGAUCCCUUUUAAAAAAUUAAUACAAAUUGGCAAUGUUUUGAGAGCAGUUUUGCUGCUCUUUUUUGUGAAAUUGUGGCAGGAACUGAUGCGUGCGCUAAACACAAACAGAAUGGAAAUGGGAACAAGAACAAGAACAAACAGGAUGAAGUAUGAGAAAAGUUUUCAAAACCAGCUGCAAAUAAAUUUAAGCUAGAUUUUUACUCCAAUA